UGCUUCCUGGAGUGUUAAACCAAGCUUCUU
rnacentral:piRNA from 1 species